UACGGAGAGUGCAAGCAUUAAUCGGAAUUAUUGGGCGUAAAGGGCGCGUAGGCGGUAGAAUAAGUCAGAUGUGAAAUUCCAAAGCUUAACUUUGGAGCUGCAUUUGAAACUAUUUUGCUAGAGGGUUGGCGGAGAAAACGGAAUUCCACGUGUAGCGGUGAAAUGCGUAGAUAUGUGGAAGAACACCUGUGGCGAAAGCGGUUUUCUAGCUAAUACCAGACGCUGAGGCGCGAGAGCAAGGGGAGCAAACAGG
rnacentral:rRNA from 1 species